UGCUUGAAGAGAUGGGUAAAGACAUUGUUAUGCAAGAAUCUGAAUGCCUUGGAAAGCGCAGUAGAUUAUGGAAUUGUAAAGAUGUGGAAGAAGUGAUCAGAUAUGAUAAAAACCUUACUAAUUUAAGGAAAUUGACGUUUCAUAUUGCAAGAAUUUAAAGAAGAUCCAUAAUCUUUCAGGAGCCAUCAACCUUGAGCUCCUUCGUUGCAUUGGCUGUGAAAGUUUGGUUGAACUUUGGAAUGAAGAUGAUCAUAUAGAGCUUAUUAAUUUAAGGGAAAUUUACGUUUCAGAAUGCAAUAAUAUAAGGAAGAUAUGUAAUCUUUCAAGAGCCAUCAACCUUGAAUUCCUUGAUUGCUCUUACUGUAAAAGUUUGGCUGAACUUUGGAACGAAGAUGAUCAUAUGGACCUUGUUCAUUUAAGGAAAAUUUACUUUGAUGGGUGCGUGAAUUUAAGGAAGAUACCUAAUCUUUCAAGAGCCAUCAACCUUGAAUUCCUUGGUUGCUCUAAUUGUAAAAGUUUGGUUGAACUUCCUUGCCUCAAUCAUUUGGCAUCUCUUCAUCAGUAUAGUCUUCGCCUUAACGGAUGUUAUAGUCUCAAGAAGUUUCCUCAAGUUCCACGUCCCUUUUGUUCUUUAGAUUUAUCAGAAACCAAAAUUGAAGAAGUGUCUGAUUCAAUUAGGGAUCUCCACAAACUUGAAACUUUGUGGUUAGGGAAGUCAAAGGUGAAAAAAGUAUCGAUCAAUAUUUUAAAGUUGGAAUUCCUUCGUAAAUUGGAUCUUAGCGGUUGCCCAAUUGAAGAAGUGUCGUUGCCUUUCGACCCCCUAUGUAAUCUUCAGCACUUAAAAAUGAGUGGCUCAGCGGUCAAAAAUGUAUCGAUCAAGUUGGAAUCCCUUCGUAAACUGAAUCUUAGUGGUUGCCCAAUGGUCAAAUUUCCAGAAAUCCCAGGAAGCUUAAUAAAAUUAAACUUAUCUGGCACUCAAAUUGAAAAAGUGUCGUUGCCUUUCGACUCUCUAUGUAAUCUUCAGCUUUUAAAUAUGAGUGGCUCAGCAGUCAAAAAUGUAUCGAUCAAGUUGGAAUCCCUUCGUAAACUGAAUCUUAGUGGUUGCCCAAUGGUCGAAUUUCCAGAAAUCCCAGAAAGUUUAAUGGAAUUAAACUUAUCUGGCACUCAAAUUGAAGAAGUGUCGUUGCCUUUUGACGCUCUAUGUAAUCUUCAACACUUAAAUAUGAGUGGCUCAGUGGUCAAAAAUGUAUCGAUCAAGUUGGAAUCUCUUCACUAUCUGGAUCUUAGUGGUUGCCCAAAGGUCGAAUUACUCUCAGAGCUGCCACAAUAUCUGGAAGUCUUGAGUGUAAAUGACUGCACAUCAUUAGAAAAAGUAUCCUUUGCAGAUCAAAAUUUAAUUCAGUUUGAUUCUUUAGAUGAUGAGUUUUGCAAAAAUCAUAACUUUUUGAUGCGAUUCCGUAAUUGCUUCAACUUGAAUCAAGACUCAACUAAUAACAUUGAGGCAAAUGCCAUGCUCAAAAUUGGAUCCCUAGCUAGGAAAUGGGUAGCGAGAGAUGAUUGGCAAUACAACCCUGACAGAGCUCAAAGUUUGAUUUGUUGUUUCCCAGGAAACAAAAUUUCAGCAAAUAAGUUCAAGUGUCAGAGCAUGAAUUCUUCCUUAAGUUUGAAGAUAGCCCCAAAUGGGGGUAGUGGCAGCAGAUUUUUGGUUUUUGCUAUCUCCUUUGUGGCUGAUCUCACUCACAGCCUUGAAUUUCAAUUACGUGAAUGUAUUUGUGAGUACCAACUUACAGCCGCCGGUGGUGGCAAUGGUGGAGGUGGUUGUGAAAAUUUCAGAAGUGAGAUAUCUUUCCGCAGUUUUUAUGAGCCAGUUAAGUACAUGGAUUAUCACGUGUUUAUAUUAUCUAGCAUUGACAUGGUUAUAGAAGACAAGAAUUAUGAGGAGGCAACAUUUGAAUUCUACAUCAAAAAUUUCCAUUUCGAUGAAGACAAUGAUGGAGGAGAAAAGUAUAUCAAGGUGGAGAGAUGUGGUGUUCAUGUAUUUUACGUGGAUGCAAAGAGUGAUAAAGAUGCUACUGAAAAGAGAGCUGCAGGGAACAAAAGAAGCUUUAGCCAUGAUGGUGAAGAAGGGGAUGGAGGACUUAAAAGAUUGAAAUAGUUUGUAUUUCUUUCCAUCUUUGGCUCUGCUUUUGAGGAGUUUCAACUUCUCAAUUAUGUCAUCCAAAUGCAUAGGACCAGUGGUGGACUCGAUUCAGCUUCAUUGUUUAGUUUCCAUCAUUGGUGUCAUCUGGUAUCUCAAGACUUGCUGCAUUUUCCUUCAAUGACAUCUAGAUUCAUUAGAAAGAUUGGUUAUUUGUGCCACUGCUGAAUUGGAGCUUCCAUAUAAGGAGGAGCACCUGAACUGUAAGAGCUUCAAUUUGUUUUGCUGAAUGCUUGCUUUAAACAAGUGUUUUAACUGAUAUUUGGUGAAAAUGUAAGUUGUCAACGGAUUUGUGAACACAACAUCAAAGUAAUCUUUUGAGGCCCUUUCUAGGUUCUCGCAUAUUCAGUCUUGGUGAAGAAAAUUUGCAAGAGAUCUCAAAACUUGUGGGAUGAACACGUGGAGCUAGAUGCAACCUUCGGCAGUUUUCAUUCUCAAGCUAGAUUGGGUUAGUUCCAUGGUAGAGCCAUUGGAGUUGAUAGCUUCUUACCUUGGAUUUUGAUUGUCGUAUAAGUUUGGGCUGAAAUUUCUUUGUAUGUUACUGCCUCUCAUGUUGUUUGAACAUUGCAGUGAAGAGAUAUUAAGAUUCAUACUUGAAUUCUUUUUGGGAA